ACAAGAUCUGAUGGUUUUAUAAGGGUAAGUUUCUUCAUACAAGCUCUCUCUUUGCCUGCUGCCAUCCACAUAAGAUGUGACUUGCUCCUCCUUGCCUUCUGCCAUGAUAGUGAGGCCUCCCCACCCAUGUGCGACUGGAGAAAAUAUUAGACAAAGAUCAUGUCAAGACAUAACAAGAAGGCAGCCUCUGAAAUCUGCAAGCCAAGGAAGAGAGGCCUCACCAGACACCAAACCUGCCGACAACAUAAUCUUGGAAUUCUAGUCUCCAAAAUUAUGGAGUCUCACUAAGUUGUCCAAGCUCGACUAGAUAGACUAGAACUCCUGGGCUCAAGUGACCCACCUGCCUCAGCCUCCCAAGUAGAUGGGAUCACAGGGUACGAGGUUUUCUAUGUUCACAUCACCAACUACAGCAAUCAACAUGAAUUGUUUUCUCUUGGGUCAUUUACAAGAGGAAAUCCUCUGAGGUGAACAAUCACUCCUGAUUUCACAAGGUAUUUUACCCAAUGAUGUCAUCAGAGACCCAGUUCUUUCCAUUUCUCAGUUUGGACAUGCCCAUGGUUGCCUUCAUCUUCAAGCAGAAAGUGAGGUGGUUACAGCGGUUUCCAAAAUCGAACUGACACCAAUUAAUACCCUGAAGAAGAAUGAAGCUGUCUUCUUUUCCCCGCUAAAAAACAGUCAAGGCUCUCCUCCCAUGUCAUUUGUCCUAACUGGCUAACAUUUGUCAUUCCCUGAAUCAAUCAUAGACAAAUAAAAUGGAGAUACCAUUAUUGGCUUAAAUUAAGGAUCUUCAGACAGAAUGGAUGUUGAAAAAAGCCACUAAAUCUGCCAUAUUUAUAAAAAAAUUAACAUUUCAGGACAAUUUCCACCUCAACUCUUCACUAGCUUUCUUAGCUAUUCUCAUGUUUAUAUUUCCCUAUACACUUUAGGAUCAGAUUCUUAAAUUUUUAAAAGAUCUUAUUUUGCUUUUGUAUGGAAUACUACUACAUGUACUAUAACAUACAGACAGUUGACAUCUUUAAAAUAUUGAGACAUUCAAUCCAGGAAGAAAAUAGGCUUUAUCCUUUAUUCUGGUUUUAUAAUUUAUCUUUUACUAGAAUUUUAAUAUUUUCUUUAUAUAGACUGUUAAUUUUCAUGUUACAAAGGUUUUAAUAUUUUUGUUAUUAUUAUAAACAGGGUAUUCCUCCAUCACAUAAUGUUAUUUACUAUUUGUAUAUAUAACAACUAUUGCUUUUUUUUUUUUUUUGAGGUGGAGUCUCACUCUUUUGCCCAGGCUGGAGUGCAAUGGCAUGAUCUCAGCUCACUGCAACCUCCGCCUCCCAGGUUCAAACAAUUCUCCUGCCUUGGCCUUCUGAGUAGUUGGGAUUUUAACCGCAUGCCACCACGCCCGGCUAAUUUUUGUAUUUUUAGUAGAGAUGGAAUUUCACCAUGUUGGCCAGGCUGGACACGAACUCCUGACCUCAAGUGAUCCACCUGCCUCGACUUCCCAAAGUGCUUGGAUUACAGGCAUUAGCCACCAUGCCCAGACGUCUAUUGUUUUUUAAAAAUUAAUUUUGAAAUCAGCUAUUUUAUUCCAUUAUCUUAUUUUGUCUUUUAUAGUUUCUCAGACAUUUCUUUUAAAUUUUCUGGGUAUAAAAUCGUAUUAUUUGCAAAUAAUUUUAAUUAUAUCAUCGCAUUUUUACCUUUCAUAUUAUCCUUCUCUUUUCUAAUUAAAUUUAACAUUCUACCAGAGCAACAUUAAAUCUACUAGUAAUAUUUAUUGGAUGCUUCUGGUAUUUUACAGUUAAACACAUGAUUUCAUAUUUGUUAGAAAUACAUGUUUUUCCAUGUGAAGAAAUAUUCUUCUUGGUCAAUUACCAAGAAUAAAGUUGAAUUCUAUUAAAUGCAUUUUCAUUUGCAAUUUUUGCUGGAAUAUAAUGAAGAAAAUUAAUAGAUUUUCAAAUAUGAACUAUCCUUGCAUUCCUGAGAUUGAAUACAAUUGACUGUUCUAGAUAACUCAAUUAAUAUGCUACCGCAUUCUCUCUGAGAUUAAUUCCUUUAACAUUUGUAUUAUUUUAUGUAAGUAGAAUUACUUUGAAAUUUUUUUCUUACAGAAUGUUAAAAUUAAUGUUUUUGAUGAAACACCAAGAUAAAAUAUAAUGUACUAGACAUUCCUCUAUUCCAAAGUUGGUGUUUGUUUCUCAUGCAAAAAUUUAUAAUGAAAAUAUCCAUAGACUCGCUACACAACUCUUUAAACCCUGGAUCAUCUUUAACAUUUUCAGCAGUCGAGAGUUGGUAAUAAAGAGAAAGUUUUGUAGAAGAAAAUUUUGAGAGCAUCAUCAGGUUUCUAGGAAUCCUAAUGUCACAGUGGGGAAGACUUGGGUAGUAUCUGGUUGUCACCUCAAGGGCACUGAGAGAGGUUUUGAAGAGGCCACCCUGUAAAGCUUUAUUGGUAUCUCCCAAAGUUUGUGACUCAUGCCUUGUAAAGCUCAGGUGAUACUUGGCAACAAAAUAAAAGGCU